AGCGAACGCUGGCGGCAGGCCUAACACAUGCAAGUCGAACGAACCCUUCGGGGUUAGUGGCGGACGGGUGAGUAACACGUGGUAACGUGCCUUUAGGCUCGGAAUAACUCAGGGAAACUUGUGCUAAUACCGAAUGUGCCCUUCGGGGGAAAGAUUUAUCGCCUUUAGAGCGGCCCGCGUCUGAUUAGCUAGUUGGUGAGGUAAAGGCUCACCAAGGCUACGAUCAGUAGCUGGUCUGAGAGGAUGACCAGCCACAUUGGGACUGAGACACGGCCCAAACUCCUACGGGGGGCAGCAGUGGGGAAUCUUGCGCAAUGGGGGAAAGCCUGAGGCAGCCAUGCCGCGUGGAUGAUGAAGGUCUUAGGAUUGUAAAAUCCUUUCACCGGUGAAGAUAAUGACUGUAGCCGGAGAAGAAGCCCCGGCUAACUUCGUGCCAGCCGCCGCCGUAAUAC
rnacentral:rRNA from 1 species